rnacentral:rRNA from 1 species
CACGUAGGGCGCAAGCGUUGUCCGGAAUUAUUGGGCGUAAAGAGCUCGUAGGCGGUCUGUUGCGUCCGCUGUGAAAACCCAGGGCUUAACCCUGGGCUGGCAGUGGAUACGGACAGACUAGAGGUAGGUAGGGGAGAAUGGAAUUCCCGGUGUAGCGGUGAAAUGCGCAGAUAUCGGGAGGAACACCUAUGGCGAAGGCAGCUCGCUGGGACGUUACUGACGCUGAGACGCGAAAGCGUGGGGAGCAAACAGG